AUGCGUGGAGCUCCAUACACCACCAGAGGUGGUUUCUGCAGUGGAAGCGGGUUGGUGUGGAAUGCCCUACCCCACCAAAAGCAUCACAGGGUGAAGGAGCACCCUGCUAGGCCUGACACCCAGGCCUCGGAGAGUCUGAGUCCGGCUGGCUUCCACUCUGGGUGUCGGGGCAGCCAGGAGGCACUGGAGUUCUUUCGGGCAGCAAGCAAUGCCGCAGAAAAUCAUCACACAUCAGCCAGAGCCCCGGCUUUCUUCGCCCCGGAUCCCGACGUCCGGCUGCCACGCUCGGAGGUGCCUCCAUUCCGGGGCGGCCUGCCCUUGAUGGCAGGAUCUGGGCUUUUCCUUCCCCUGAAAGAAAACCAAAGUGCUCUUCUCAAAGUCCAAUAAAGACGUUUCCGCGGCU
rnacentral:lncRNA from 1 species